AAGUGGAGGAGCCGGGAUUAGAACCCGCGACCUGUGACUCCUAAGCCCGGGCUCUUUCCACUGAGCCCUUCUCCUAAAACCACGCCGGAUCCCGGGCAGACCAUGAAAGGAGAAUUAGGUACUUCUGUGAAACUUUUGGCCUCUGUCCUUGUAAGAGAUUCAUGCCGGAGAUAUCGCUAAGACUAGUGGCAGAAGACUCUAAUCAUGAUGGGAUGCGAUUGACAGUGGUUGUUGGCAGGCAGAUGGAACGUGAAGCCAAGGAGAGGCAGCUCACGUUACGGAUCCUUUAAGACUAUGAAGAAAACUAUAUCAAAGCGUGCCUACGAAGCAAGCCACACCUUUUCGGGCCUACCGUAUCAAAGUUAAGCCUCAUGUUUUCCCUUGAGGAGUUUUUCAUUACAAAGAUACAAAUUAUGUUGCAGCCACAGUGUCACUCCCGGCAAGCCUACUUCUCAGGACUCGAGCUGCUGCCUGAAGCCUGAGAAGCUGGAAAGGAAGAAUGAACUGGGGGACAGGAAAGGGGAAGAGAAAGCUAGGAAGAAUGAAAUUGGAGGGCACGGAGUUCCAAGAAGUUUCUGGUGGGCAAAUGGAUGUACCUGUCUCCUGUGAUGGAACCUCAGAGUCCCCACUGGAAAUGGAACACAUGAGACAUGGACCUAAAGAGGAAAAAAAGGCAGAUCAAAGCCUGUGGGCUUUGCCCACACCUGAAGAGUGAAAGUAUGAACUAUUUCACUUCAACUUUAAAAACAUGCAACUCAUCAGGAAUACCCACCCAAACACACACACAUACACAGGUUCACACUCAAGGGUGCACACUGGUUUAUAUCUUGUUCUGUGACUGGAGUUACUACUGUUGAAAAAUCACAUUUCUAGCACCACCGCCCCCCAAAAAAAUUCAUUUGAGGGGGGGAAAAGGUCCUCAAAGUGGAACUUCUAUUUACUGCUGGAGCAUUGGAAGCAACAGCCCCAGCAAUGAAGGCCUGGUCCCUCUACAAACAAUAUCAUUUAAUGCAGCACUAUAGAAGCAUUCACUAAAACAUAUUUUCUUUUCAUUGACAUGUAUGAUUGACAAUCCCCAACAAAAAACCCCAAUAAAACCUAUCAAAUCAUUCAGAUCUGUGCCCAAACGGAGUAAGUUCGGCCCAUAAAGCGGCCUUGGGAAGGGAAGAUAAAUCACAGCAGCAUUAUUUAUGAGCACAUUCAGUUAUGUGCAUAAUAGCCUAUUCUUUCGUUGCUUUUGUGUAUAAACAUUUCAAAAUAGGAUUAUUUAAAAAGGACCUUGGGAUGUACUACCCUGGUUUGGGGGGCUGGAGAGAACUAACCAGGGUGCUGUUGGGCAAAACUCUAUUCAAGUGUCAGUGAAAGUUUCAUCUAAAUUUGGUACAAAAUCCUAGUCCAAAAAAGAAAUCUGUGCAGGGGCCCAUUUGAGUCCCAGGGAGCUUGUUGGGGCUUGUAGGUCUGAAGCACCCAUGGUGAAUAAUUCAUGGAGUGAGCUUCUAUGCAGAAAAGGCUUAGGAACUGAACAUGAAGUUGAUUCCUCUUGACGAUUCUUUCCCUUCUCUUCUUUGGCGGUGGCUGGUGGGAAUUGCGGGCCACAGAUGAGGCUGUUGUUUCACAACGGACUCUGCAAGGUCAAAAAGAGAGUGGUAGCAAAUGUGAUUUGUGAUGUGGGGCUCCUACGACUUGUCCAUUCUGGGUCUUUGGGAAAGGAGGAUCCGUACCCCUUAAGCAUUUGAUAUUCACCCCAACCUCAGCUCCACAGCACUUACGUAAAUAUCCCUUCACUCUC